rnacentral:sRNA from 1 species
AAUAGAGCCAAAAAAACAAACAAACAAACAAAC